ensembl:snRNA U2 U2 spliceosomal RNA
AUCGCUUCUCGGCCUUUUGGCUAAGAUCAAGUGUAGUAUCUGUUCUUAUCAGUUUAAUAAGAUGUCCUAACUCUUUGGGCCUUUGCACCAACG